AUUUUGAUAUUGUGUUUCAAGGCUGAUUAUGUGAAGUAGUUACUAUCACUGUAAUAUGAAUAUUUUCCUUUCUUCGAUUAUAUAGACAUGGAACCAGUCAACCACAAUCAGUUGAGGGAGUGGUGUACUUUUGAACAUUUCUUUAUUUGGAAAUGUGGAGAUAUAAUAUUAUUAUUAUUAAUUUUGAGGAAAUUUGAGGAAAUUAGCAAAAUGUAGAUUUGUGACAAGAGUAAACGCAACAAUAAAUAUCCCUAGCUUCCUUCCAAAGCUCACUUCAGUCACCAUCUUCUGUAUGUCUUUAGAGUCACUAUUGGCAUAAUACUGGUAUACACUAAGAGCUGAAUAAAUGCUUGCUUAUUUUUAAUUUAGUACAUUCUGUUCUUAGUAAAUUCAUGUGUAGGCUUCUGUCCCUCUCUGAUCAAUAUUUGAGAACCCAGGACUGUCUUAUCUCCAAUAUAUGGAGAUAUAUAUUAGAGAUGGAGGCUAACAAUUUAGGUCUUAGCAUCAUAGUUCACCAACCCCUUUUUCUUUAGAGUUGUUCUUACUGUCUCUCCACACUACAUCACUGAAAUAUUCUAGAGGAUUUACUGUAUGUGUUCACAAAUAGCACAAACAUAUUAGACGAAGUUAAAGCUUUGGAGUAUUAUGUACUAAAGAAAGAUGAACAUCAGAUGUAUUUGGGGAAAAUAUGUAUAUACCAAAGUCUAAUGUGAUUGCUUUGUGAUUAGCACCAUUAUUAUUUUUUAUAUACUGAAUUAGGGUUUUUUUCAGUAUAGUUCUUAGCCACAAAGCUUACUUUCAUUUGAAUAAUGCUUGUAAUCAUACUAAAUAGUCAGCCUUAUUGGGUAAUUUGAUUCAGGAAAAUAGUUCAGAAACAUUCCUGGAAAUUCAGCAAAAUAUGGAAAGACUUGUGUGAUCUAUUACAGAGUGAAGUAAGAAGAAUAAGGAAGAUAAAAUACACAAUAAUCUCAAUAAUGUAAAAUUAAAAAAAACUACUAGAGUGAACACUAUAAUUGUAAUAAGCAAGUUUGACUUUGAAAAUUGGAUGACAAAAUUUUCUUUCUUUUUUUUUCCUACAGUGAUGAAGGAUUGUGGAUGCAGUCCUUACUUGAUUGUUGUUUUGUCUGACUUUUUACAAGGAAAGGAUUUAGUGAUUUGGAAAUAAUGGUUAUUCAGAAACAAGUGUCAUGUUAAAAUAAAAAUAAAAUUUUUUUAAAGAGGGAAAAAAGAAUCUAGACUUUAAAGUCAGUAAACCUGGAUUCACAAUUUUCCAUUUGUUGGUUGUGUGAUCUUUGCUAGUGGUAGUGAGCCAAAUCAUUACACCUCUCUCAUUACACCUCUCAUAUCUGUAAAAGGAGGGGAUUUUAAUACUCUUCCAGCUCUAAUAUGCCACGAUUUGUUGUCCAUAUUAUUGGAAAAUGUUAAACACUCUGGAAAUAUUUAUAUAGUUGGAUUUUUCUUACUUCUUUAUGCAUUCAAUCUGCAUCCUACUUUAUAUUUUCAGGAUGGGAGUGGUGGAGUAAAAGAUGAUUUUUAGUUGUUUUCAUGAUGUAUUCAUAUCUGUUGUAUAACUCCAAACACCUAAUCUAAUGCCUUGUACUUAGAAGGCCCCCUUAAAAUGUUUGUCAAAUGAAUCAAAGAAUGAAGUUGCAUUCCUCUUGCUCACGCUGCAGGAUUGACUUGAAAAGUUGCUUAGUCCAUUCCUUUACAUAUAUAGACAGGCUUUACUUAAAGCAUCUUGGUCUCUGAUCUUGUUAGUCAUUAAACUGGAGAGCUGCAUAGAUAUUCAGUACCAGUUUUGAGAGGAAAGAUUUGCCUUUUACACUGAUCCAGAUGAAAUGGUGGGGGAGAAGGUGCUGCUAUUCCUCUGAGUAAGGUACAUGGUUCUCAUUCUGGAUGAGGACGUCAUUUCCAACCAAGGAAGCGGGGCUAUUAUCUUUAAAGUCUGAAAACUAGGAAUUUCAAUCUCAGAACUUUGGCAAAGGUGCUACAAAGACAAUUAUACCUGAGUUUUAAGGCCCUUUUUCCUUCCCAGUGCUGUAUUCCUUUUUGUUCCAGAAUAUUUUUUAGACCAACAACCUUUCCCUUCCCCCCCCUCCAUUUAAAUAAAUAUAAUUGGAUUAAAA